rnacentral:rRNA from 1 species
GUGAACCAGCGGAAGGAUCAUUAAAGAGUAAGGGUCUCCGGCCCGAACCUCCAACCCUUUGUUGUUAAAACUACCUUGUUGCUUUGGCGGGACCGUUCGGUCUCGAGCGCACCGGUCUUCGGAUUGGUGAGCGCCCGCCAGAGUCCAACCAAACUCUUGUAUUAAACCAGUCGUCUGAGUAUAAAAUUUUAAUUUAAUUAAAACUUUCAACAACGGAUCUCUUGGUUCUCGCAUCGAUGAAGAACGCAGCGAAAUGCGAUAAGUAAUGUGAAUUGCAGAAUUCAGUGAAUCAUCGAAUCUUUGAACGCACAUUGCGCCCCUUGGUAUUCCGAGGGGCAUGCCUGUUCGAGCGUCAUUACACCACUCAAGCACUGCUUGGUAUUGGGCACCCGUCCGCCGAAAGGCGGGCGUGCCUCGAAGACCUCGGCGGGGUCUAAUCGGCUUCGGGCGUAGUAGAGUUAAAUCAAAACGUCUUAUAAGUCUGGUUAGAACCCAUUGCCGUAAAACCUUUUAUUUUCUAGGUUGACCUCGGAUCAGGUAGGGAUACCCGCUGAACUUAAGCAUAUCAAUAAGCGGAGG